GGGUUAGUAGGCUGGUCGUGCCACUGGUACGUACUGGUCUCACUGAUUCCUCCUUCCUGAUGAACUGUAAUGCCAUUAAUUUGGUGUUGCAGGGAAACUGGACUGUUACUUUGAAAAAAUUAGAGUGUUUAAAGCAAGCUAACGCUUGAAUACAUUAGCAUGGAAUAAUGAAAUAGGACGUUCGAUCCUAUUUUGUUGGUUUCUAGGAUUGACGUA
rnacentral:rRNA from 1 species